rnacentral:tRNA from 1 species
GCCUGGUUGGCUCAGUCGGUUAGGCGGCCGACUUCAGCUCAGGUCAUGAUCUCGCGGUCCGUGAGUUCGAGCCUCGCAUCAGGCU